AUCAAAAGUUCUUAAUUUUCCAUCACACCAGUUAUUAGUCCCAUCCCAUCAUUUAUCAUCAUGAAGCUAAGUUCGAUGCCCCUAGCUCUAGUAACCUAACGUGCUAGACAGACAGACAGCGAUGAAUUAUUACCGGUCACCGUUUUUUUGAAGUAUUUUAAUUGAUCACAAGUUCCGAGACGGUACAAUUUGGAUCACACAUAAAGUAGAGCAUGACAAAAGGUUGCUCAAGUUCAUUCAAAGCUUAAGAAACUUUUGCACGUGAAAUCUACUGUAUAGUCGACAGAGUUCAUUGACAGGCACGUGUAUAGCCUAUGUGUUAGGCAUUUCGUGGUCGUCUCACGCAUUGUAAAUUCUAAUUAGAUAGUGAUUGGUUCAACAUUGAAGAGCGCGAUUGUUUGCAAUACCGCGUAGAGUCGUUGAGAUGGCAAUCGCGAUUGCCUGGGACAGGUCCUGAAUAACAAUAUCUGCAACAGUUACUUAGGUAGUACAGUACAUAUGUGCUCUUUUUAAAUGAUCAUGCAUACAUAUAUUAUUUAGAUUUCAAGUCAAACUUUGGGCAGUAGACAGCGUCUACCAUUCGUUCAAUACUAAUAAUGGUUUGGAUGCUUACUUUAUGUGGAUCAAGUUAUAAAUAAUAUUCAGUGGUAAUAUAAAAACAAAUUAUGUCCAUUACGGUUUUGGCGGAUUUCAUGAGAUAUCGAACAGAGUACCUACAUAAAGGUGAAAUAAUUAUUGCAAUGCGUAAACGGGGCUAUCUGAGUUCAAACAACUAUGUAAUCUGGUACCGUGAGCCAAAGGGGCUUCGACCGCUGCCGUCGAUAACGCCUAGUACAGUGCGACUGAGCGAUCAGCCAGUCGCUAAUUGAUGCUUAUUAUAAUUUGUUAGCACAACAAUAAGUGAAAAAGUCGCAACCGCCCCGGCUAGUCUGCAAGUGUCUCCGAUGAGACCGUCUUUUAAUUAAGUAUGUUGCAUUUAGGUACUUAAAUUCUUCACGGAGAUAUACAAGUAUGUCAGCAAAAACCAGCUUUCGAUAACAGAUACAAAGUUUAAUUAUAACAUAGUGUGUAUAAAUAGUUUCUAGUGCAAUGAUAAUGCUGUCGGUCAUCCAAAUUGCGACGCUUCUCACAUCAUUAUAAAGUAACGCAAACUUAUUCAUUCGCAUUGCAUGCUUCUAUAAUCUUUCCGAAUUAUAGAAGCAUUUUUAAAAAGUAAUCUACUUAACAUACGUACCUAAUGAUUAAGGAAAAUACUAAUAACAUACUUACUUAUCUACCGACGGCAAUUUAAUUUAUUGUGCUAUACAGCUUUUUUUAUAAAACUAAGAAAAAUACAAUGUUAUAUUUGUAGCUGUUAAUAUUAUAUCUCGUAGCUACUGUGGGACUUAAUUAUUUUUAGCAUAUCAUGUUGAUAAUAACUUAUUAUGUAGGUACUCGUGUCGGCCGAUAGAUACGUUGGUAAUGAAACGAGAGGAUGCAGUUCACUUGCACUCUCUCCUUUUAGUAAACGUUUUAUUUGGAUAAGUGUCUAUAUUUGUUUUUCAAUAUCAAUUGAUUAUUAGAGGCUGAAAGAGUUGGAAAAUUUAUCAAUUAGGCUGAAGAGUGCGUGGCCGCCACCACAAAACUUUUUGCUCAAUUGAAUAAAUUUUCUAAAUUGUGAGAGUUGUAAAAAUGGUGAUGGAAGAUAGCAUUUUUAAAGCAUCACGGACCUUGUACCGGAGAGCGGCGUGCUCUAAGUUUGUAGGUACCACGUAUUCCAAACUAUAAGUAGGUCUGUAAGACACCAACCAGAAAUUACCUAGUGUUCGAUUUAAAUACGUCAGCGCCCCAGUACAUACUAAUUGUGAUAAGUAGGUAGGCAACUACUUAAUCCUUUUGCAAGUUUUUUACGCAGUUCGUUAAUAAUAAAGAACGACUGUUGUACCUAUACGGAAUCGUAAUGCGGGUAAAGUGACCCGGUAAUUUUAAUUGUGAAUUGUAUGUCAAAGUGUAUCUUCCGUGUACGUCAUAGCGUGAUACGUAAUCAGCGAAGUAAGGCGAGCUCAGCUUGGUGACAGCGGCACGGGCGCUGCCGACGAGUGGGCGUUUGCCGACGCUCCGUCUGUCGGCUCCGGACUCCGACACUGCCAAACACGGCCGGAGCCCGCUGUCCGAGGAACACUGCCCUCGACUAGUAAUCGACCAGCCGUGCAAACGUCCCGCCCCCGUUUAACUGAGUGACACAAUUCCUGACACAUUACCUAAUAAUCCCGACGUACGCUACGAUUUCGGAGCGUCAUUGCAAUUUUAGAUUGAUCACUCCCGCUUCACAGACGCAUGUUCCGAGAUAUUAGCGAAAAUGUAUCUAGGUGUCACCCGUUCCACUGGUUACAAUUACCUCCAACUCAUCCUGACCUAACCUACAGACAAUACGGAUCUUUCUCUGAUCCAGCGACACGUCAGUGUACUUACAGAGAGAUAAGAGAAAUGGGAUUUUCCUCUCUAUAUGCAUAGACUCAUACAUUAUUUUCUCGUUCCUAGACCGCAUAUAUACUCGUUAUAAAUAUCCCACGAAUGACCGUGAUUAAAAUCAAUUACUUUAAUUUUGUGAAAAGAGCGACAUCCUCCCAAAAUGUUACACAUAAUUGACAUUUUGGUUAUCGCACCAAACGAUCGCAAAACAUUAUUGAAAUAUAUUACCCCUAAAUUGUUUCACAAUUCAUAUUGUAUGAGCUUUAAUUAUGCUGUCAAAAUGCAUUACCGAUUUCGUUUAGUUGGAGAAGUAGGUACGAGUCGACCAAAUAGUAUCUUCCUACCCCUAAUUGAAUUGCAUUCUACAUAUUUUUGAUAAAUAUUCUAAUUUAAGUACUUAAGAAUUUAAAGCAAGGACGUGGUCCUGUUACCGAGACCGUGUCUUCAAAUUAUUUAUUUUAUAAUUAUUAUUUUUUGCUUUGGUUCUUGUGACGGAAUCACUUUAAAUAGGUAUACCUUAGCAACAAUCAUGCAAUAUAAUCAAAGUUCUGGCUACAAAUGUUCUGUUUUUAUGUUACAGUGUGUAUGCUCGUUUGCGUAGUUAAUUUGGAGUUUUGCAGCGACUAGAGGUUCCUGAAUUUACCUGACAGCCGGUGUUUACCAACACGAAAACACGAUUAGGCUAAAUUGCGGAAUGAAGGAAUAUUAGAGGCAGAAACAGCCAUCAGAUAAACAGCAAAUCGGUAGUACACGAGAAAGUAAGACUAUAAACAUCACCUCAGAUUAUUAAGUACGCUUUGAAUACGGCAGAUGAAUAUAGAGAAGCUGCGGUAGAGGCGAACGGAGCGAACAGUGCGUGUCCACUCAACGAGCCACUUGCAGCAGAUCGAUUGUUUUGGCUGCUCGCAGUCACCUUAAUUGCCCAUGAAUCAAGAUGGCUCGACCGCAUUUGUAUACCCGCACUCCAGACAUAUUAUCCCACUAUUAAAUCCCAAACCAGAAUUCUAAAUAGCAUAAGUUUCAACUGUCUGAGAUAGGAAAGAUUUUAGUUACCUUCGUUUGCUUAACUAGAUUUCCAGCCUUUUGCGUAUAAGUAUAUUCUGCACGGUUGGGGGGCAUUUGCGGAUAUCUCGAGUGCGGAAAGCGCAUCCUAUACACAGUUGCGAAUAUGUCAUCUCAUUGUACCGUGCGAAACUCCUGCGCAGCUGAGCCCGCAUGCGUCGACCACCCUCGAACAAAACUGAGCAAUCAACCCGUGCAUGUCCAUGCUUCACAAUAAACGUUAUCCAAACAAAACAGUCAGUUUAGACAACCCUAGCCGAAAGAUAUAUUAUUAUUGGUCAGAGUUUAAUAACUGACGACCUUGCUCUCACAGUGCACGCGUUUGAUAUAAUUUGGUUAGUGCUUUUAGGAAGGCGACCGAAACUUUAUACCUACAAUAAUUUGAAUUUAGGUAUGUCUCCGUUAUCUUUAUAUGAAGUUGAGUCGUUCCUUUAUUAAUAAAUUACGACUAAAAUAAAACGAUCUUGGCUUUAUCGGGUUUUGAUGGUCAUAACACAUACUAGAGUCAGUUUAUAAAAAUAUGUGACUUCUUUGAGAAAUUAUCAAAGCAUCUAGGUACUCGUGUAAUUUAAACAAAACAUAAAUUUUAUAAACCUAAUAGUAUCUCGUGAUUGGUGUAACGUGGUUGCGGUGUACAGUGUGCCCUUGGCGAGGCUUAACGCGAACCAGAUACGUUGUUGAUAAACUAAAGUUAACACGAGUUUGUCACGAUUGUACAGGGGUCGUUAGCGACCCGCAGGUUAUUGAACAGUUUUGGCACUUCCUUUCACUAUGCAAACAUCAGCAGGCACCUUGACACUAGAGGUUGUUAACCGGUGCAUUAGACGGAGCACAAUUGAGGCCAGUGUGUGAGCGAGUUCAAGAGCAAUUUAGGUUCCGUAGGUCAGUUCGCCAAAGGUAACCUUGACAUUGACCACAAAAAAGAACACCUGGGGCGACGAUUUCAACGCAGUGUUAACGUAAACUAACAUGCGAUAGUUUUUAGUCGGGCGUGACCUCGCAGUUCGUUGAGAUAACAAUAUAUUUUAUUAGAUAAACUAACAUCAUCCAAGAAGCCCAUUAUCCUAUAAUAAGGUAUGCAGUGUUAUUAGCUCUCUAGUCUCGACUAAUGGAGUAAAUACUAGAUCUUUCGUUGCAUUCACGAUCUAUUUAUUUACUACCGUAUAGUAGUAGAUAUUAACAGAACUCGCAAAGCAGACGGAUUAUCUGCGUGUGUGAAUUUCUAGAUCUAUUUAUAGUUAUUAAGACAGUAGGGAGCUGAACCACACGAAGUGCACGAGUGUGCAAACAUCACACGCAAUGGGGCAAUAACUCGUCACAACUUCUUUCAUGCUAUAAACCGAUCGAAAAUAGCGCCACUUGCAUUUUAGUAAGCCGUCGGGACAUAAUUCCAGGAGAUACAAGACCGCAGACAGAAAUAAAAGAAACAGUUCAUAAAUUAAAUAAACUGACGCGUUGCCGGCAAUAACCUUCUUGUCCUGCUUUCAUCGAGGGCUGGGUCAGAUUUAGCACACAGAUCACGUGAAAUAUUAAAUACAAAAUUGCACGACUAUUAGCAAUAGAUUAUAUAAAAAUGUAUUAUCAAAAAUAAAAUGGACGUAAUCAUUCCUUCCUAUAAAAAGAUUGCGUCUAUUUUCGUGCAUUUAUUAGUCAAGAACCAUCCAUUUGUUUUAAUCGGCAGUAUGUAGAGUCAGUACCACGACAUUACUCAAUUGCUGUUGGUACAAUCUUGUUGCACCCCUAUUUUGAGUCGUUCAAGAAAAAGAGGAUGUACGAUAAUGCGUGAUUGUUGAUUGCAAUGUGCACUUUGCAUCAAUGCAGUCAGGACGUCGAUUUCAAUUUAAACACGUCCUGCUUUCUCAACUUAUUCUUGUUAUUGUAAGGGGUAAUUUUUUUAAACCACUAUCACAUCCUGUGUUCAUGAUCUCUGGUUACUGUUAUCAGGAUGUGAUUAUGGGUAAUAACAGGUCUCGUUAGGUACUUCAACUUUAAAAGUGUUAAUGUUUUUCCUCAAUUGAUUCUGAACAAGUUGCAACUGUUGAUAUUUAGUUAGUGGACCUUACUCUGGUUAAUACAUUUCACGUAGAAUUAGUUACCUAUAAUAUUAAACACGGAGUAAGUAUCCAUUACAACAAAUUUGUAUUACCUAUACUUCGAACAUUUUAAAAAAUAAUUAAGCAUGAAGACGUGUACCUAACUAUACAUAAGCUGGGUCAAUUAAACUUACUUGAAUAAUUCAUGAGUAA